rnacentral:rRNA from 1 species
AGAGUUUGAUCAUGGCUCAGAUUGAACGCUGGCGGCGUGCCUAACACAUGCAAGUCGAACGCGAAAGUCUCUUCGGAGACGAGUAGAGUGGCGCACGGGUGAGUAACGCGUGGAUUAUCUACCUACUGGUACGGGACAACAGUUGGAAACGACUGCUAAUACCGUAUACGCUGGUAACGGGAAAGGGGGCCUCUUCUUGAAAGCUCUCGCCAGUAGAUGAGUCCGCGUUUCAUUAGCUAGACGGUGGGGUAACGGCCUACCGUGGCAACGAUGAAUAGCAGGCCUGAGAGGGUGGCCUGCCACACUGGGACUGGAACACGGCCCAGACUCCUACGGGAGGCAGCAGUGGGGAAUAUUGCGCAAUGGACGAAAGUCUGACGCAGCGACGCCGCGUGGAGGAUGAAGGUUUUCGGAUCGUAAACUCCUGUCAAGAGGGAAGAAACCUAUCAAAAUUAAUACUUUUGGUAAUUGACGGUACCUCUAGAGGAAGCACCGGCUAAUUCAGUGCCAGCAGCCGCGGUAAUACUGAAGGUGCAAGCGUUAAUCGGAAUCACUGGGCGUAAAGCGCUCGUAGGUGGCUUUGUAAGUCAGGUGUGAAAGCCCACGGCUCAACCGUGGAAUUGCACUUGAUACUGCAUCGCUAGAGUAUAGGAGAGGGAAGUGGAAUUUCUGGUGUAGGAGU